rnacentral:rRNA from 1 species
UUGAAGAGUUUGAUCAUGGCUCAGAUUGAACGCUGGCGGCAGGCCUAACACAUGCAAGUCGAGCGGUAGCACAGAGAGCUUGCUCUCGGGUGACGAGCGGCGGACGGGUGAGUAAUGUCUGGGAAACUGCCUGAUGGAGGGGGAUAACUACUGGAAACGGUAGCUAAUACCGCAUAAUGUCGCAAGACCAAAGUGGGGGACCUUCGGGCCUCAUGCCAUCAGAUGUGCCCAGAUGGGAUUAGCUAGUAGGUGGGGUAACGGCUCACCUAGGCGACGAUCCCUAGCUGGUCUGAGAGGAUGACCAGCCACACUGGAACUGAGACACGGUCCAGACUCCUACGGGAGGCAGCAGUGGGGAAUAUUGCACAAUGGGCGCAAGCCUGAUGCAGCCAUGCCGCGUGUGUGAAGAAGGCCUUCGGGUUGUAAAGCACUUUCAGCGGGGAGGAAGGCGUUAAGGUUAAUAACCUUAGCGAUUGACGUUACCCGCAGAAGAAGCACCGGCUAACUCCGUGCCAGCAGCCGCGGUAAUACGGAGGGUGCAAGCGUUAAUCGGAAUUACUGGGCGUAAAGCGCACGCAGGCGGUCUGUCAAGUCGGAUGUGAAAUCCCCGGGCUCAACCUGGGAACUGCAUUCGAAACUGGCAGGCUAGAGUCUUGUAGAGGGGGGUAGAAUUCCAGGUGUAGCGGUGAAAUGCGUAGAGAUCUGGAGGAAUACCGGUGGCGAAGGCGGCCCCCUGGACAAAGACUGACGCUCAGGUGCGAAAGCGUGGGGAGCAAACAGGAUUAGAUACCCUGGUAGUCCACGCCGUAAACGAUGUCGAUUUGGAGGUUGUGCCCUUGAGGCGUGGCUUCCGGAGCUAACGCGUUAAAUCGACCGCCUGGGGAGUACGGCCGCAAGGUUAAAACUCAAAUGAAUUGACGGGGGCCCGCACAAGCGGUGGAGCAUGUGGUUUAAUUCGAUGCAACGCGAAGAACCUUACCUGGUCUUGACAUCCACAGAACUUAGCAGAGAUGCUUUGGUGCCUUCGGGAACUGUGAGACAGGUGCUGCAUGGCUGUCGUCAGCUCGUGUUGUGAAAUGUUGGGUUAAGUCCCGCAACGAGCGCAACCCUUAUCCUUUGUUGCCAGCGGUUAGGCCGGGAACUCAAAGGAGACUGCCAGUGAUAAACUGGAGGAAGGUGGGGAUGACGUCAAGUCAUCAUGGCCCUUACGACCAGGGCUACACACGUGCUACAAUGGCAUAUACAAAGAGAAGCGACCUCGCGAGAGCAAGCGGACCUCAUAAAGUAUGUCGUAGUCCGGAUUGGAGUCUGCAACUCGACUCCAUGAAGUCGGAAUCGCUAGUAAUCGUAGAUCAGAAUGCUACGGUGAAUACGUUCCCGGGCCUUGUACACACCGCCCGUCACACCAUGGGAGUGGGUUGCAAAAGAAGUAGGUAGCUUAACCUUCGGGAGGGCGCUUACCACUUUGUGAUUCAUGACUGGGGUGAAGUCGUAACAAGGUAACCGUAGGGGAACCUGCGGUUGGAUCACCUCCUU